rnacentral:rRNA from 1 species
UACGAAGGGGGCUAGCGUUGCUCGGAAUCACUGGGCGUAAAGCGCACGUAGGCGGCUUUCUAAGUCAGGGGUGAAAUCCUGGAGCUCAACUCCAGAACUGCCUUUGAUACUGGAGAGCUUGAGUCCGGGAGAGGUGAGUGGAACUCCGAGUGUAGAGGUGAAAUUCGUAGAUAUUCGGAAGAACACCAGUGGCGAAGGCGGCUCACUGGCCCGGUACUGACGCUGAUGCGCGAAAGCUAGGGGAGCAAACAGG